AUGCCGAUCGCGCUGGAGAGCGGCGCCCUGUUCGGCCGCGCGGUGCCGGCGGCGUGCGCCGGCUCCUCUUCGGCUGGGCGGGGCAGUAGCAGCCAGGCGGGGGCGGUGCACCUCGAUGAGUCGGAGGAGAGCGAGGGCGAGGUGCAGAGCUCGCACAGAGGCCCCUUCGACGCGAUGGACGCGCUCCAGGAAGCCCUGCCCCGCAGGAGAGAGUCGUCCAAAAUCUACAAUGCUAAGCCAAGUUCUUUGGCAAGUGCUGGGGAUGUUCUGCUCUCACCUCAAUCAUCAAAAGGGCUUGCUACUCCUGGAAAACCCUCCCCUAAGAAGCGCAAGGGUCCUCUUCCAUUUAGUAUCAACCAGGAUGAGUCGCGGAGCAAAGAGCUGAGCCCUAUUGGAGAUAUCAACAACAGCCCAAUGAAGUGCAGGGCCCCAUCGUCGCCGGCUGCUGCAAGCAGUUCACCAUGCAAGAGUAGGAGCGAAGAUGAGCAUCGGUGCUGUAACGACAUGCCUUGCCAUAGCCUGCAGAGAAAAUCCAGUGACAUGAGUGCCUUUUCUUCUCCACCUGCUGGCCUUCAAACUCAAUUCAUCUUAGUUUCAAUGGUUGGUCACCAAGACGUGGGGGCGUCAACUAAUGUGAUUUCUCCCAGGGAAAAGCGCAGGAAGAAUUAG
rnacentral:rRNA from 1 species